AAGUCGUAACAAGGUUUCCGUAGGUGAACCUGCGGAAGGAUCAUCAAAAAAGAUGGCGUGUGCUUCUCUCUGAGAAUGUAGACGCCGUUUCAUCUUUUGUGCACUUGUCUCUUGGAUUUCUGUCUUGGUUGCGGGUGGCGGGGAGUUGUGCGUGCCUCGUGCAUGCGCGGCGCCUCGUCUGCCCGCGGACCUUGCAGACCUCACCACACCUGAAUCUUUGCCUAAACUCGGUGACUCGCUUGCGAGCACGCCACACAUAACAAAAAAUAACUUUUAACAACGGAUCUCUUGGCUCUCC
rnacentral:misc_RNA from 1 species